rnacentral:rRNA from 1 species
CAGUAGUCACGAGUUUGAUCAUGGCUCAGAUUGAACGCUGGCGGCAGGCCUAACACAUGCAAGUCGAGCGGUAGAGAGGUACUUGCAUCUCUUGAGAGCGGCGGACGGGUGAGUAAUGCCUAGGAAUCUGCCUAGUGGUGGGGGAUAACGUUCGGAAACGGACGCUAAUACCGCAUACGUCCUACGGGAGAAAGCGGGGGAUCUUCGGACCUCGCGCCAUUAGAUGAGCCUAGGUCGGAUUAGCUAGUUGGUGGGGUAAAGGCUCACCAAGGCGACGAUCCUUAGCUGGUCUGAGAGGAUGAUCAGCCACACUGGGACUGAGACACGGCCCAGACUCCUACGGGAGGCAGCAGUGGGGGAAUAUUGGACAAUGGGCGAAAGCCUGAUCCAGCAAUGCCGCGUGAGUGAUGAAGGCCUUCGGGUUGUAAAGCUCUUUUACUCGGGACGAUAAUGACGGUACCGAGAGAAUAAGCCCCGGCUAACUCCGUG